GGGGUUUUCUCUUUGUUUAAAUCCCUCCUCCCUCUGUCUCUACAAGGGAGCUGUUUUCUUCUUCCUUCUUUCUUGCUUAUUAAACUCUCCUCUCCUUAAAACCACUCCACGUAUGUCCAAGUCGUUUUAUCUAAUUCGGUGCAAGAUUAAGGACACUAGUGUUCUUCCAGUCAUCAUAGCCAUAUCAAUACUUGGUGUCAGAAGGAAGGACCAAAGGUGAUUCACCUUAAGGAGACUCACCAGGCCUUGGAACUACAGCAUGAGGUACCCACACUGGGGCUCUUUAGGGCCGCCGACCCUGACUUCCACGGGUCACUUCUUCUCCGGCUUGGAGAGUCUGUCUUAGAACUCCCAAUUUUGAUUUGUUUUCUGUUUUAUUUGGGAUUUGGUGAGGAAAGAUCUUUUCCUCCUUGUUUGAAUCUCUUGUUGAAGAGGACUCUUUUCCUCUGUUGACCUUGUCUAUGAAGUUUGAACCUAGAGGUUUGAAUGAGGAAAUUUUUUUCUUCAUUUGGAGAAGGCCAUUGUUUUUCUUGUUGUGCCUGGAACCUCAGCGAGGCAGAAUCAUUCACUCCCCUGGAAAGGGGGCUAAAGCCAGGGAGCCAAGUGGUCUCGCUCAGCAGGUCCCACUUUCCU
rnacentral:lncRNA from 1 species